rnacentral:lncRNA from 1 species
UUUUGCUUUCUGACAUUUCCCCAUGGACUUCUUUGAGUUGCAAGUUUUUUCUUAAUUAUUAUUUUAAAUUUUAUUUACUUUUAGGUGCAUAGCAUGUGGGAUCUUUGUUCCCUGACCAGGGACUGAACUUGUGUCUCCAGGACUGGAAGUAUGGAGUCUUAACCACUGGAUUGCCAUGGAAAUCCAAAGUUGUAAGAUUUUAAAGGACUUUGUUUGACAUAUUAAAGACAGGGUAAAUGGGAGCCAAUGAGUCAGUUACAAACUCUGCAAAUAACAUAUGUACCUUGGUGUUCCUGCUGAUUUUACUAAACCUCGACCACGAGUUCCUGAGACAGACAUACUGAAUCUGAACCUCCAGAAGCUUAAUGGAGUUACCCUUGAAGCACAUUUUAAACAAGUAAAAUUUGGUAAGUUUUGAUAAAUGUAUACUCCUGUGAAACAAUCACCAUGAUAAAAAUAAUGGACAUAUCCAUCACCACUGAAAGUUUCCCCAAAGGGUUGUAAAUCUAUUCUUCCACCCCCUUUACCUACUCCUAUCGUCCCCAGGCAAUCACUGAUGUGCUUGAUGUCAUUAUAGAUUAAUUUGCAUUUUCUAAAAUCUAUGUGAAUAGAAUCAGAGAGCAUGUGUUCUUUUUUGCCUGUCUUUAACUCAGCAUUAGAAUUUUGAAAUGCAUCUAUGUUAUUG